rnacentral:rRNA from 1 species
GACGAACGCUGGCGGCGUGCUUAACACAUGCCAGUCGAACGGAAAGGCCCUGCUUUUGUGGGGUGCUCGAGUGGCGAACGGGUGAGUAACACGUGAGUAACCUGCCCUUGACUUUGGGAUAACUUCAGGAAACUGGGGCUAAUACCGGAUAGGAGCUCCUGCUGCAUGGUGGGGGUUGGAAAGUUUCGGCGGUUGGGGAUGGACUCGCGGCUUAUCAGCUUGUUGGUGGGGUAGUGGCUUACCAAGGCUUUGACGGGUAGCCGGCCUGAGAGGGUGACCGGCAGCAGUGGGAAUGAGAGACGGACCGGAGAGCGCGGGGAGGGAGAAGGGGGGGAGCGUGCACACUGGGCGGGAGCCGUAUGCAGCACUGGCGCGUGCGGAAGGACGGACGUCGGGAUGGAAAACGGGAUCGCCGGUGAAGAAGGGGGAGUGACGGGAAUGAAUAAAGAAGCACCGGCUAACCACAGC